CCCAUUACUAAAGUUUCAACAAAUACUAAUUUUGAACCCAUAAUUUCAAAAACAUACCCCGUGUAAUCCCACAAAGGUAGAGUGCACACAUACCUUACCCCUACUUUGGGAGUUAGAGAGGCUGUUUCUGAUAAACCCUCGGCUAAAAGGGAAAAAAAGGACUGGAAAACUAAAAAUUGAGUAACUACAACAAAACAGUACGCUAAAUUAAUCGCAAAAGGACAACAAUUUUAAUGGUAAGAACUCAAAAGUUGAAUUCAUCAUAUUUAAAUCGCAGAUCGCCUUUGCAUACGCACAUCGAGACACAAAAGAAAUAAAGAUGGAUUGGGAAGAAAACAGUACACAAGAAGAGACUAAUAACCAUAGCUUUACAGCACUGUCUCCUAAGCUAAGUUGCUCAGACUCUCCAAAAUUGUUGCCGCACCUGUGUUGGAUCCUUCAAAAAUACACUAUUUUUGGAGGAUCCAACACGCAGCCGUAGACAUUUUUGAAGAGUCGGAGCAACAUAGGUCCUAACGGCAAAAAAACACCAUAAAAAUCAAAUCUUUUAAUAGCAUCAACCAAUAAAACUCCAACUUGACACAAAAAACUACUAAUACCAAUCAAUAGCUCUACGAAAACCAAACAAAGUCUUCCCCCAAUUAACUCACAUAGGAACACAAUCAAGACUACACAUUCAGCAUACACAAAUUCAGAGUCAAAGAAACAUAUCAACAUGAUAUCAAAUGAAGAAAGACCAAUAACCAUAGAUUUAAGUACCUUCCUAAAGCAUAAGUACACCAUAAAAAUCAAAUCAUUAAACAAUAUCAACCAAAUCCCAAAUUAACCAAACAUUUAUUACCAAAAAGAAAAACUAAUAAAACCAAUCAACAUCCAUAUGCAAACCAAAAAAAUAUUCCCUAAUAACUCAAAAAAGAAUACAAUCAAGACAACAUAAAAACUCAAGAACAAUAACCAUAGCUUUAAUUACUGUCCUAAUGCAUAAAACACCAUAAAAAUCAAAUCUUUAAGCCGUAUCAACCAAUAAAACUACAAAUUAACACAAUAAAUCUACUUAUGCAAAUCAAAAAGUACUUCCCAAUAACACAACUAAGUAUACACUCAAGACCAACCACCAUAGCUUUAAUUACUGUCCUAAUGCAUAAGUACACCAUAAAUAUCAAAUUCUUGAAACAGUAUCAACCAAAUUCCAAAUUAACCAACACUUAUUACCAAAAAAAAAAAAACUAGUAAAACCAAUCAACAUCCAUAUGCAAACCAAGAAAAUCUUUCCCAAUAACUCAAAAAAAGAACACAAUCAAGACUACAUAAAACCUCAAGAUCAAUAACCAUAGCUUAAAGUCCGACAUAAAAAUCAAAUCUUUAAACAGUAUCAAUCAAAUUCCAAAUUAGCCAAAAUUUAUGACAGAAAAAACUACUAAACCCAAUCAACAUCAUAUGCAAACCAUAAAAAGUCCUCCCCAAUAAACUCAAAAAAAUAAUACACUCAAGACUAUUAACCAUAGCAUUAAGAACACCAUAAAAAUCAAAUCUUUAAACAAUAUCAACCAAAUUCCACAACAACAUACCA
rnacentral:lncRNA from 1 species